UGCCAGCAGCCGCGGUAAUAUGGAGGAGGCGAGUGUUAUCCGGAGUUACUGGGCGUAAAGCGCGUGCAGGUGGAUGGAUAAGUUGGUUAUGAAAGCUCCUGGCUAAACUGGGAGAGGUUGACCAAGACUGUCGAUCUGGAGUGGAUGAGAGGUAAACGGAAUUCCUUGUGUAGUGGUGAAAUGCGUAGAUAUGAGGAAGAACACCAGUGGCGAAGGCGGUUUACUGGCAUCCAACUGACACUCAGACGCGAAAGCAUGGGUAGCGAACGGGAUUAGAUA
rnacentral:rRNA from 1 species